GGCCCUGGAGCAGAGCAGGGCAGGGCAGGAAGCUCAGGACCAGCCGGGCUCAUUCUUCCCUUCCCGCUGGAACUAUGGGUGGUGGGGGGAGAGGAGCCAGGGCUGCUGAGCGGGAACUCAUCCUAAGUCUCAGAAUUCCAUUGCUGUUAUGGACCUUGGAGACCUUAUCAACCAGCCCUCCCAUUUCACAGAUAAGAAGACUAAAGAAUAAAAGAGACUUUCCUGGGACUUCCCUGGCAGUCUAGUGGUUAAGACUUAGCACCCCCAAUGCAAGGGGCAUGGGUUCAAUCCCUAGUCAGGGAACUAAGGUCCCAUAUGCUACACAGUGUGACCAAAAAAAGAGACAGACUUUCCUAAGGACUACAAUAAAUUAAAUGACAAAGCUAGGACUAGAACUCAGGACUUCUCAAGAUCUCCUUCCAUCUAGACUCUAAAAGUUCUCUUGGAAUGAAGACUCUAGUUUCCUUUAUUUGGGAGCUGGGUUGGGGCCUCUCAUUCCUGCCUUCCCCAGAGUUAAUAGAUCAGGUCUCCCACAGCCUGGCUCCUGCUGUGGGAGAGGAGGUGGGGCAGCCUGUAACACAGAAAGCACCAGACUUUGCCUAGAGCCAGCCUCCUGCUUCUGGUGCCUAUAUCCUGCUGUGUGAUCUUGAGUACAUCACUGAAUCUUUCUGGGCCUCAGUUACCCACUUGAAAACAUAAAUGAGGACACAGAGGGGAUGGGUUGGGCAGUGCUGGGCUCAUUUAUCUCUAAGGAACUCGGUGGUUCGAAAACCAAGGAGGCAGAACAUGCGGAGGGGCUGGAAGGUUGAGGCCCUCAAUACACAGGUAGGGCAGGGCUUGCCUCAAUGUGGAUCCACUUGAACUGGGUCAGCUCAACUUUCUCAAAGUCUUUAGCGGACACAUCUGGCAGGUUCCUGAGUCACAGAACAGAGAAGGCGCAAGGUGAAGUCAGCCAGAGCCAGGAUCUCUAACUCAUUGCUAGGGCCCCUAUGCCUGGCACUGCCUGCAGCAUGGCAGGAAGCUGGAUCUACAGCACAUGCUUCUGAGGCUCAGCCCUACCCUGUUCCAGGCUAAACUUGAGACCACUCCUUACUCCACUGAGCUCCAUCCAGACAGGGGAUUGGAGGCAGUUUCCUAGGGUGCCCCUUCCUGUGUUUGAGGCUGUGAUAUUAUCUAAAGGCAAAUUCAUCCACUGCAUGUGUCAAGUAAGCGGCCAAUCCCACAUGCUUUGGAGAUCACAUCUCCCAAAAUGCUCUAAGAGCACCAGGGACUACAAUUCCCAGAAUUCCUCUUGCCAGCAGCCCACACAGCUCCCAGCAUGCAGUGUCCCGGGAAACUACAAAGGCGACCGCCAUUCUUCCCAGAGCUCGGGUCUGGUUCUACUCACUUCUGGCUGCCCCAGCAGUGUCAGCACCACUGUCCUGAGUUUGGCAGCUCCAUGUUAUGAUCCUGAGAUCAAGCUUUAUUGCGAUGCUAUUGACAUAUAACAUUCUGUACGUUUAAGGUGAAGAGAGGGAUGAUUUGAUACAUGUAUAUACUGUGAAAUGAUCACUACAGUAAGCUUCCUCAUCUAUAAAGACAGAACAGGACUGAUCCUUACAUGUUUCCCAUGGGCUGCUGUGAGGAAAGCAUGUAAUAAUGCCUGUGAUAGUGCUGUAUGGAUCCAAGGCCUGAAGAACUCCCGGCGCUCUCCCUCAGUGAGCCUCAUGGUUACUGGCACUGUAGCGUCUUCCCAAGCUCAGUCUUGAACUCGCCUUUUAUCCAGUUCUUGGCUCUGACAACUGACAGCCAAGAAGCAAUUCUUCUCUGUAUUCUAAGCACUAGACUACCCCAAGAGAAAGUCACAGAUUCCACUGCACUGGAGUGUCUUGGGAUGAUGUGUAAUGGUGCAGUUCUUAUCAAGAGUAAAUAUAGGAACCAACAAAUGACUCUUCAACUUCCACCAGACAACCAAGAAGGAUGUUUUCCACUAUGUUGUUCACUGAGUACUGUAAAAAGGACUUCUGGUAAACUCCUUUUGGAAUUCAGCACAAGGAAAAAGUCUGUAUGGCUUAUGAACCAGCUGGACCAUAACUCAUAGCAUCUCCAAAUUUGCCUGCAGCGCCAGCAAGCCCUGAGAUACAAUGAAGCUCAAAGACCAUGGUUUUCAAUGUUUUUGAACAGUCUAACUGCACAUACUUCUUAUUGUAAGCUACCUCGAAAACACUUUCAAAGAAACAGAUGAGAUCUAUAAGUGGUAAAUAAAUUAGAAGUAAAUGCUGGUGAUAGGCACGUGCACAGGUCUUGUUAAAAUGGAAGGCACUGCUUUUGCACCUUCCUAGCUGUGCGCCCUUCAGUUAAGUCACUGUGUCUCUCAGGGUCUCUACUUGCUUAGUCUACUUGGUAAAAUGGGGAUAAUGAUGUCUGACAGGUCCCAGGGUUGGAAAUGGGAAGUGGAGAACACAAUGCUAUCCAAAGCCUGGAGCUUAAUACUAAAGGCCUCAAUUCUUUCCCCAGGUCCCGGGCGGAGGGCAUGAGGCACGGGCUCCCAAGGCAACUCUCACAGCCUCGCUGCGGGGCCCCGGCUUCGCAUCCCUGCAGUCUUGGCCGCAUGGCACAACGCGGGGCUGCAGCGGCCCCUGGGGUCACCAAGGGGCCCGGGCGCCCCUACCUGCUGUCCGUGUCCUCCUCUGGGUAUUUGUCCAUCACAUUGAUGAUGUCCAGCACCACUAGCCCCACGCACAGAAUCUGUUUCUCUUCCAUGAAGCUGCUCCCGGAGCUUUCUGCCUGGGUGACGGGGUUCCUCCCUGGUUCUGCCUCCUAUCCGGGUGAAUGGUGUCCCGGCUCCCAGAGUCUGGCUCCUCCUCCGCGUUCGGAACUCCUCCUCCAGGGAGCCUCCGGCGGCGGCGAGGGGUGCCGUGGGGUGCAGGGGACGGAGCCGGGCCCUUGCUCCCCACGACCACCCACUCCAGAGGACCUGGGAGCGCAGACCCCAAGGUCUCGGUACCCGGCCUCUCCUUGGCAAUCUGCGUGGCCCAGGAGAUGGCUACGUCUUCCACUUCUUGCUCUCAGUUUCCUCACUUGUCAGACGGACUCGGAGCUGAUGCAAAGCUCUCUAAAGCGUAGCUAGGCAACCUCUUGAACGCCAAGAGAAAGUACAGCAGAAAAGCAUCCCGUGCGCCGCCCGCUCCCGCACCAGCCAAUCUCCAGACUCCAGGCCCGCGGGGUUGAGUCGGGCCUCGCAGCUGCGGCCUGACCCGCAAGCAUCCCCAGCCGCGGCUCGCGCUGUCCCGGCUGCCCCGCCCCGCCCCCGAGGUCGGGCCAAUCCCAGGUCGAGGCCUCGCCUCUGCCGCGGAGCAGCCGGGGCACGCAAGGUGGGCCGCGGCAGUCACGUGACGGGAGACCCCGCCCAGCGGCGCCGAGGUCGCGGGUCCCGGCGCCCUCUGGCGGACUCGGGCGGAAAGGGCGUGAUCAGGAGGAGGGCCUGGCUGGGGCUCUAAGCUGAGGAGUUGCUUCGCGCUCGCGCGUCCAGAGCAGGUGCCGGCAGAGCUCCUCCCGCCGGAGCUGAGGGCGCGAAUCUGAUCGGGGGCUCCCUCACCCCGUCCCCUGUGUACUCCUGUCGACCCAUGAACACAUAGUAGAGCAGAC